rfam:Nocardioides sp. Root614 contig_6, whole genome shotgun sequence.
UGAUGCUGCACGGGAGAGUCAGGCCCGAGCCUGCGCCGAAGGGGCAAUUCCUCCCCGGAACCUCUCAGGCGCCCGGACCGUGCGGAGCAG